rnacentral:rRNA from 1 species
UACGUAGGUGGCAAGCGUUGUCCGGAAUUAUUGGGCGUAAAGAGCUCGUAGGCGGCUUGUUGCGUCGGCUGUGAAAACCCGCGGCUUAACCGUGGGCUUGCAGCCGAUACGGGCAGGCUAGAGUUCGGUAGGGGAGACUGGAAUUCCUGGUGUAGCGGUGAAAUGCGCAGAUAUCAGGAGGAACACCGGUGGCGAAGGCGGGUCUCUGGGCCGAUACUGACGCUGAGGAGCGAAAGCGUGGGGAGCGAACAGG